rnacentral:misc_RNA from 1 species
GAUGAAGAACGUAGCGAAAUGCGAUACUUGGUGUGAAUUGCAGAAUCCCGUGAACCAUCGAGUCUUUGAACGCAAGUUGCGCCCGAAGCCGUCAGGCCGAGGGCACGCCUGCCUGGGCGUCACACGCCGUUGCCCCCCCGCGCCCCGCACCCAACGCUUUGGGAGCGACCGCGGGGCGGGCUGAUGAUGGCCUCCCGUGCGCUCCGCCGCGCGGUUGGCCCAAAUACCGAGUCCCCGGCGACGUGCGCCACGACGAUCGGUGGUUGAGAGACCUCUGUCGCAAGUCGUGCGCGCCCGUCGCGUCACGCGGGCUCGCAUAGCGCCUCGCGCCGCACCCGGUGCGGAGCUUUCAACGCGACCCCAGGUCAGGCGGGGUUACCCGCUGAAUUUAAGCAUAUCAAUAAGAGGAGGA